AACGAACAAUUUUGCGUUACCUGUUGUUAAUUUUCCUUUGUGAGAUUACUUUGGCACAAUUGCAAACUGAUGGUGUUUAUAUAUUUCAGCUCGUUCGUUGUGCAUGACUGUGUACCCAUACUUCACCUAUUUCUACCGUUUGUUCACGUUGAUUUUUAUGAACGACGCUUGAUUUUACCUACUUCUACUGUUUGUUCACGUUGACUUUUAAUAAACGGCGC
rnacentral:lncRNA from 1 species